CCUACGGGUGGCAGCAGUAGGGAAUCUUGCACAAUGGGCGAAAGCCUGAUGGAGCAACACCGCGUGAGGGAAGAAGGGUUUCGGAUCGUAAAGCUCUGUUGUUGGAGAAGAACGUGCGUGAGAGUAACUGGUCACGCAGUGACGGUAUCCAACCAGAAAGUCACGGCUAACUACGUGCCAGCAGCCGCGGUAAUACGGAGGUGGCAAGCGUUAUCCGGAAUUAUUGGGCGUAAAGCGCGCGCAGGCGGUUGCUUAGGUCUGCUGUGAAAGCCUUCGGCUUAACCGGAGAAGUGCAUCCGAAACCGGGCGACUUGAGUGCAGGAGAGGACAGUGGAACUCCAGGUGUAGCGGUGAAAUGCGUAGAUAUAUGGAAGAACACCAGUGGCGAAGGCGGCUGUCUGGUCUGCAACUGACGCUGAGGCGCGAAAGCGUGGGUAGCGAACAGGAUUAGAUACCCGGGUAGUC
rnacentral:rRNA from 1 species